UCCGGUUUGUCACCGGCAGUCUCCCUAGAGUUCUCAGCUUUACCUGCUAGCAACUAGGGACAAGGGUUGCGCUCGUUGCGGGACUUAACCCAACAUCUCACGACACGAGCUGACGACAGCCAUGCAGCACCUGUAUCUCGGUUCCCGAAGGCACCAAUCCAUCUCUGGAAAGUUCCGAGUAUGUCAAGGGCAGGUAAGGUUCUUCGCGUUGCGUCGAAUUAAACCACAUGCUCCACCGCUUGUGCGGGCCCCCGUCAAUUCAUUUGAGUUUUAGCCUUGCGGCCGUACUCCCCAGGCGGGACACUUAAUGCGUUAGCUUCGGCACUGAUGGCUUUUACCCCACCAACGCCAAGUUCACAUCGUUUACGGCUAGGACUAC
rnacentral:misc_RNA from 1 species